rnacentral:rRNA from 1 species
ACAGGCGCGGAACGGAAAGCCGCGUGCAAGCGAGGUACCGGACUGGUAGGAAAAACCGCCAGCCAACGGGAAGACGUGAUGCGGACCGAAAUUUAGUAGGGAAGUGUGUGAGCCAGCUGUCAAGAAAAGCCGCUAUUGUGUAUACAGUACCCGUACCGUAAACCGACACAGGUGGAUGAGGAGAGAAUCCUAAGGCCGGCGGAAGAAGUAUUGUCAAGGAACUCGGCAAAAUGACCCUGUAACUUCGGGAGAAAGGGUGCCUCGAAAGAGGCCGCAGAGAAUUGGCCCAAGCAACUGUUUAGCAAAAACACAGGUCUAUGCGAAACCGAAAGGUGAGGUAUAUGGGCUGACGCCUGCCCGGUGCUGGAAGGUUAAGGGGAGAUGUUAGAGCAAUCGAAGCAUCGAACUUAAGCCCCAGUAAACGGCGGCCGUAACGAUAACGGUCCUAAGGUAGCGAAAUUCCUUGUCGGGUAAGUUCCGACCCGCACGAAAGGCGUAAUGAUUUGGGCGCUGUCUCGACAAUACAUCCGGUGAAAUUGAAGUACCAGUGAAGAUGCUGGUUACCCGCGCCAGGACGGAAAGACCCCAUGGAGCUUUACUCCAGCUUGAUACUGGGAUUCGGUAUUGCAUGUACAGGAUAGGUGGGAGGCUAAGAAGCAUGGACGCCAGUCUAUGUGGAGCCGCUGUUGGGAUACCACCCUUGCGGUAUUGGAUUUCUAACCAGCCGCCGUGAAACCGGCGGUGGGACAAUGUCAGGCGGGGAGUUUGACUGGGGCGGUCGCCUCCGAAAGGGUAUCGGAGGCGCCCAAAGGUUCCCUCAGAAUGGUUGGAAACCAUUCGAAGAGUGCAAAGGCAGAAGGGAGCUUGACUGUGACACCGACGGGUGGAGCAGGUACGAAAGUAGGGCUUAGUGAUCCGGUGGUAUUAAGUGGGAAUGCCAUCGCUCAACGGAUAAAAGCUACCCUGGGAUAACAGGCUUAUCACUCCCAAGAGUUCACAUCGACGGAGUGGUUUGGCACCUCGAUGUCGGCUCAUCGCAUCCUGGGGCUGUAGUAGGUCCCAAGGGUUGGGCUGUUCGCCCAUUAAAGCGGUACGCGAGCUGGGUUCAGAACGUCGUGAGACAGUUCGGUCCCUAUCCGGCGUGGGCGCAGGAUAUUUGAGAGGAGCUGUCCUUAGUACGAGAGGACCGGGAUGGACUGACCUCUGGUGCACCGGUUGUUCCGCCAGGAGCAUAGCCGGGUAGCCAAGUCGGGAAGGGAUAAACGCUGAAGGCAUCUAAGCGUGAAGCCCCCCUCAAGAUGAGAUAUCCCAUGCGAAAGCGAUAAGACCCCUUGAAGACGACGAGGUAGAUAGGUCAGAGGUGGAAGUGCAGUAAUGCAUGGAGCUGACUGAUACUAAUAGGUCGAAGGCUUAACU